rnacentral:tRNA from 1 species
GCGCCCGUAGCUCAGUUGGAUAGAGCAUCUGCCUUCUAAGCAGAGGGUCGUGGGUUCGAUUCCCGCCGGGCGCG